AAAGGAGAUGAGUUUACAUAAAUAAAUAUAGUGGGGGCAAUUAAUCUAAAUUGCGAUUUAAAUUAUGACUAAUCCAUAAAAUAAUCGGUCGAAGUAUCGAUAGUUUCUAAAUAAAUUGUAGUGAAAGAUUUACUCAACUGCUAUACGAAAUGUUUAACAUGAAGAUAUUUUUGUUGGCAGUUUUGGUAGUGGCUUUGUUUGCUGCCGAAACUUAUGCAUGCAUUGAACACGGCAAUUAUUGCAGGCUUAACACGGAUUGUUGCUCCCGUCACUGUCAAUUUAUGCUUGAAAUAGGGCUAUGUAUAGGUUAAGUUGCCUUAAAUUAACCUCAAAUUCACUUUCAACUCUGGUUAUAAAUAUUAGACUGGACCAAAAAAAUUGACUAUUUUUUUUUUCAUAGCUAUAUCGAAAAUAUUAUUCAGAAUGACACAAAAAAAAUUUCAUGAAAGUUUGAGCCCUUAAUAUUAAUUUUAAGAGGUCUAUCAUCGCAAUUUUUAAUUUUAAUUCAUAAUUUGAUGUUUUACGUCAGAACUGCUCAAACAUUCGAGUAAAAAAAAUUCAUUUCCACUUAUUCUUAUGUAAAAUUAAAUUCCCUACAAAAAAGGUCUGAUUGAAAAUUUUCGUCAGACAAGCCGUUUCCGAUUAAUUAAGCUUAAUAAAUUGAUAUAUUUUUUCGAUUUAACAUUUUUACUUUUGAAUUUUGUAACUGACGAAUCAAUAAAUAUCUAGAAAAGAUCAUGACAGAAUUUUGAAGGAAAUUUAAUGCUCUAAAAAAAGGCCGCUUAACAUUUUUUGGUAAAUUCACUCCUUCGAAAGUUAUUCACGUUAUUGAAAUCGUUUUGACUCAAAUUCAACCUUGAAUAACUUUCGAAGGAGUGAAUUUACCAAAAAAUGUUAAGAGGCCUUUUUUUUAGAGCAUUAAAUUUCCUUCAAAAAUCUGUCGUGAUCUUUUCUAGAUAUUUAUUGAUUCGUCAGUUACAAAAUUCAAAGGUAAAAAUGUUAAAUCGAAAAAAUAUAUCAAUUUAUUAAGCUUAAUUAAUCGGAAACGGCUUGUCUGACGAAAAUUUUCAAUCAGACCUUUUUUGUAGGGAAUUUAAUUUUACAUAAGAAUAAGUGGAAAUGAAUUUUUUUUACUCGAAUGUUUGAGCAGUUCUGACGUAAAACAUCAAAUUAUGAAUUAAAAUUAAAAAUUGCGAUGAUAGACCUCUUAAAAUCAAUAUUAAGGGCUCAAACUUUCAUUUAAUUUUUUUUUCGUCAUUCUGAAUAAUAUUUUCGAUAUAGCUAUGAAAAAAAAAAAUAGCCAAUUUUUUUGGCCCAGUCUAAUAAAUAUAUUUUUUUUUAAUUUGUAAGAAAACAAUCACGUCUAUUUUCUUGUAGAAUAUCUGGUUUUAUUUAUAAAUAUAUGUAAACUUUGUCCAUAAAAAUUCAGUGGGCCAUGAUUGAUUCUUGUUAAAUGAAAAAAUCCACUAAUCAAUUGUUAAUUAUACAAAUAACUUAUUAUUAUAGUUAUUUUUAAUUAAUAAUUUUUUAUUUUUGAUUUAAACUAAUUUUUAAUUAAUAAUAUAUUUUAAUUUUCCGAUUAAAGUUUUUUACAACUAAUAAUUUAAAUAUUUUUUUGUUCGUUAUU